AAAUAGCACGGGACGGCUGAUGCAGUAUCCUAGUCGGACCCGCACCUUUCGAAGACGGGCCUAAAAAUCCGUCGCGGGCACAUCGAUGAAGUUCCUGGUGCUGGCUUACGACGCCCAGUCGGGGGCUGGUGCUGGGAGUUAAGGUUGGAGGGCGAGCCGCAAUGGCAUGCGGGCGUGGACCCUCCUUCCACGGAGACCCAAGUGCGUGGGGAGUAUUCACGAACUACGGCUUGGGAUUAAACCUGCACGUGGGGGCGUGCUACGUGCAGUGUAGCCUGCCUUGAGUGAAAUGGGGGGAUAUUAGGUUAAGGGGAGAAGCCGAACGGGCCCUUAGGCUUCGAACCUUCUAAUUGAAACCCAUUUUGCAAAAGAGGCUAGAUUGGUGCGGGAGCCGUCGGGGAAAUCCUCUAGGCUGUUUGGCCCGGCCAAGGUCUUACGGGGAUUGCAGUAUGGACUAAGUGGUGAUCCAGUUCCGCAGCGGGUAACCCUGCGGCAGAAGCUUUAAAGGGAAACCGCCUCCUCGGUGACGAGAGGUAGCUUCUGGGGAAAUCCUACUGGACCUUAAGCCAUAAAAUUAACCCGUAAGGCUAUCAGCCGUCCUGGCUACCUG
rnacentral:sRNA from 24 species